AUUGAACGCUGGCGGCAGGCUUAACACAUGCAAGUCGAGCGGGGGAAGGUAGCUUGCUACUGGACCUAGCGGCGGACGGGUGAGUAAUGCUUAGGAAUCUGCCUAUUAGUGGGGGACAACAUCUCGAAAGGGAUGCUAAUACCGCAUACGUCCUACGGGAGAAAGCAGGGGAUCUUCGGACCUUGCGCUAAUAGAUGAGCCUAAGUCGGAUUAGCUAGUUGGUGGGGUAAAGGCCUACCAAGGCGACGAUCUGUAGCGGGUCUGAGAGGAUGAUCCGCCACACUGGGACUGAGACACGGCCCAGACUCCUACGGGAGGCAGCAGUGGGGAAUAUUGGACAAUGGGGGGAACCCUGAUCCAGCCAUGCCGCGUGUGUGAAGAAGGCCUUAUGGUUGUAAAGCACUU
rnacentral:rRNA from 1 species